rnacentral:lncRNA from 10 species
GUGGGCCCCGCCCUCUACGGGGGCACUGGCGCGGAAACUGGCCCUGUGUCGAAGAAGGAACGUACUUUGGCGUUCUUAUGAGCUGCCUAGUACAAAUUAUUGGCAGAAACAAUGAAUUAAACAUUCAAAAAGUAACCCACCGGCCGGCCGCAGCGGCUUAUGGCUGUAAUCCCGGCACUUUGGGAGGCCGAGGCGGGCGCAUCACCUGAGGACAGGAGUUCGAGACCAGCCUGGCCAACAUGGCGAAACCUCGUCCCUACUAAAAAAUACAAAAAUUAGCCAGGCGUGGUGGCGGGCGCCUGUAACCCCAGCUACUUAGGAGGCUGAAGCAGGAGAAUCGCUUGAACCCCGGAGGUGGAGGCUACAGUCCGGCACUGUUGGCACCAGGUCACCAGGACCCGCUUCAGCACAAGGAAUGUCAUCAAGGUGCCACUGCAGAAGCGGGCAGUGCCCUCCAUGAGGUGCGAAACUGUCUUCAAGCUGACUCCUGAAUUCUUCAGUCCUGGAAAGUCCAGGGGCCUAGAUUCUCAACAAUGCGCACAAAGGCAGAGAUGGGGAUACCGGAGGAGCCUCCAGGAAUCAUGGGCCCAGAACCUGCUCUCUCCACAGCACCCAUGUCCAGGCCCACCUUCGGGUGUCCACACCCACUCUGAGCCCAUCUUUUGUACCACCUCCAUUUCAAACACCUGUUUACUGCCUCAGAACAGUUCCUGGAAAGCAUGGCAGGUGCCUUGGUGUCUCCAUGAUGGUCAGACUCGCCCUGCCUUGGACAUGUGUCAAGAGAUGGAGCAGCUGCUGCUUCACUCACAGGAAAG